CCCUUAGAUGUUCUGGGCAGCACGCGCGCUACAAUGGUCUUCGCAAACGGAUGCAUUCUCGAAGGAGAAUGCCAAUCUUGGAAUCUAUGCCUUGGUCGGGACAGUUGCUUGCAAUUUUUCGACUCGAACCAGGAAUUCCUUGUAAUCGUGAUUCAUCACAUCACGAUGAAUACGUCCCUGCCCUUUGUACACACCGCCCGUCGCUCCUACCGAUUGAACAAUCCGGUGAAUAAUUCGGACAGUCGUGCAUUAUAGUUCGCUAUUUUGCUUGUACUGGAAGUCUAGUGAACCUUAUUGUUUAGAGGAAGGAGAAGUCGUAACA
rnacentral:rRNA from 1 species